rnacentral:piRNA from 1 species
CUUGGUACAUCUUUGAGUGAG